AUGGAUCCUCAUCCACUUGUUAAUCUUUUCAAAAGAUCGAAUUAUGAUGAACCAAUUGCUAGUAAUUUGAGUGCACUAUUUUAUCUUUAUGAAGUUUUGCUUGAGAUUCGUGAAUUUGAAAAUUGUGAUGAAGAAAUUUUUGAAGUGAUUCAUGAUAGAUCCUUGAAUGAAAAGCAUGAUUGCGAUGAUUUUACUAUGAAUUCUAUUAAUGUCAAUUGUGCUAAUAAUAUGCAAAACCCCAAGCUUGGGGAUGCUAAUUUUGCUAUAUCCACUACUUGUCGCAAUGAUCAUGAUUGUGGUGAUAAUGAUUCGUAUGAUCUUGAAAAUAUAUUUAAGCCUCGUGAUGAAUAUGUUUGCGAUAAUAUUCAAAGUGGGCUUGGAGAGGUCAUGACUUUAGUUGAUGUUAAUCCCACCAUCUUGGAAGAUCAUAAAACUUUUAUGCAUGUGGAUCAUUAA
rnacentral:rRNA from 1 species